UGCCCCAUGGCUGAGUUGGUUACAGCGUCCGACUGUUAAGUAUAUCGUAAGAUACCUGAAUAUCGGAAGGUCGUGAGUUCGAGCCUCACUGGGGCAG
rnacentral:tRNA from 1 species